UAUUAUAUAUUAUUGUUACAAAACUUUUGAAACUACGUAGCCAGAAAAAAAUAUAUAAAAUUUAAAUUUUUUCAAAUAAAGAAGGUAUAAGUGUAGAAAAGUUAUGUCUUUAAGAGCAUAUGUUAUACAUAAAUAGUUUUCGGAACUAGUUUGAAUCGUUAUGAAUACCGUUCUGGAAAUCAAUCCUCCCAAUCGCCAUGAAGAGUUCAAUGGACCCUCGCAAAGUGCGCAACAUUUUGCGGACCGGGUUUGUAGUAGCACACACACACUCGCACAAAAGGUGGACAGGAGGGAUGGAGCAAUCCGAGGAGCGAGCAAUCUUCUGUUUACCCUGCCACAGUCUUUCCUCAUGAUCCUCCACUUCGUGCCUUUUAAUGCCUUUAAUCCUAGCAAAUAAUACAAAGGAGAGAACUCUAGGACAAGUGUAUGGAGGAAUACGAAAAGGCUGAAAAGUGGGGAGAACAUAAUAUACACCGCUAGAAAUCCAGGACUUUUCAAAAUUCAACAACACUACACUAAAGAAUAAACUUUAAACGAUUUUUAAAUGUACCUAUGUAUAUAAAUAGGUACAUAUAUAUAUAUAUAUGGGUUUGAAGGACCAUAUCAAUGCGUAAAAAACUGUGCUACAAUAUAUUUAAUAUAUCCAAUGGCGACUGUCGGUGGCUUGGGGACUCGACCUGGGACGUGUCUCUGUUUCUGUCCCUGGCAUAAAACAGAAAGUGUGCAACACACGCUCUUGAAGCCAAGCAAACGACUGCGGACGACCGGGCGGGAGGAUCACCAUCGCCCGGAGGGGAGGCGGCCAGACCCAUGUGGUUGUGGUUCCAACUACGAUUGCAGUGAACUUCUAGCCCAGAGUCAUUGAACUUGUCCUGGGGACUGGAGUGACUCUGGCUGCGACUGCGGCUCUACCACGAUAUCAACACUGGGAUCGUCAUGAUUGUCUUCGGCCACCAGUAUGACAUAAUGAACUUGGGUUUUGGGGCUCGUACGUACUGCGUACGCAAUUCUCAAAUCGUGUUUGCGCCUCCUGAGAUCGUGGAGCCCCUCUCUUGCCACUGCGAUGGGAUCUAGCUGGAUGAGUUGAAACUACUCUUAAAGAGGGUAUAUUAACCUAUUAUUAACAUAUUCAUUAAAGGUUUCUAAUAUAUUAUCAAAUGGUAGA
rnacentral:sRNA from 1 species